rnacentral:rRNA from 1 species
UCGAAGGUAGCAUAAUCAGUAGUCUUUUAAUUGAAGGCUGGUAUGAAUGGUUGGACGAGAAAUUAACUGUUUCAUAAAAAUUUAUAGUAGAAUUUUAUUUUUUAGUCAAAAAGCUAAAAUUUAUUUAAAAGACGAGAAGACCCUAUAAAUCUUUAUAUAAGUUUUAUUGUAAUUUUUUAGAUUCAUUUUGUUAUAAUAAAUUAUUAUAUUUUAUUGGGGUGAUAUUAAAAUUUAAUAAACUUUUAAUUUUUAUAAUCAUUAAUAUAUGAAUAAAUGAUCCGUUAAUAACGAUUAAAAAAUUAAGUUACUUUAGGGAUAACAGCGUAAUUUUUUUGGAGAGUUCAUAUCGAUAAAAAAGAUUGCGACCUCGAUGUUGGAUUAAA